rnacentral:rRNA from 1 species
CCUACGUGAGGCAGCAGUGGGGAAUAUUGGACAAUGGGGGGAACCCUGAUCCAGCGACGCCGCGUGAGUGAAGAAGUAUUUCGGUAUGUAAAGCUCUAUUAGCAGGGAGGAAAAUGACGGUACCUGACUCAGACGCCCCGUCUAACUACGUGCCAGCAGCCGCGGUAAUACGUAGGCGGCAAGCGUUAUCCGGAUUUACUGGGUGUAAAGGGAGCGUAGGGGGUUCAGUAAGUCUGAUGUGAAAGGUAGGGGUUCAACACCGGGACUGCAUUGGAAACUGUUGAACUGGAGUAUAGGAGUGGUAAGCGGAAUUUCUGGUGUAGCGGUGAAAUGCGUAGAUAUUAGAAAGAACACCAGUGGCGAAGGCGGCUUACUGGGCUGUAACUGACGUUGAGGCUCGAAAGCGUGGGGAGCAAACAGGAUUAGAUACCCGAGUAGUC